rnacentral:rRNA from 1 species
CACGGAGGAUGCGAGCGUUAUCCGGAUUUAUUGGGUUUAAAGGGUGCGUAGGCUGGUAAUUAAGUCAGCGGUGAAAUUUUGCAGCUUAACUGUAACAGUGCCGUUGAUACUGUUUGGCUAGGAUUUGGUUGUAGUGUGCGGAAUGUGUGGUGUAGCGGUGAAAUGCUUAGAUAUCACACAGAACACCGAUUGCGAAGGCAGCUCACAAAGCCAAGAUUGACGCUGAGGCACGAAAGUGUGGGGAUCAAACAGGAUUA